UACGUAGAGGGCAAGCGUUGUCCGGAUUUAUUGGGCGUAAAGCGCUCGCAGAUGGUCCGCUGCGUCGUGCGUGAAAGACCCCGGCUCAACUGGGGAGUAUCGUGCGAUACGGGCGGACUGGAGGCCAGUAGGGGGAUGCGGAAUUCCGGGUGUAGUGGUGGAAUGCGUAGAGAUCCGGAGGAACACCAGCGGCGAAGGCGGCAUCCUGGACUGGUCCUGACACUCAGGAGCGAAAGCGUGGGGAGCGAUCCGG
rnacentral:rRNA from 1 species